ACACAGCAGACGUUGGACGGUGUGCACCUGCAUUCCCCAUGAAAGCUCUGUUGCCAUGGUGAUGAAAUGAUGUAAGAUGCCCGUUUUUCCAACUGCCAGUCUCUGAGCUGAGCACUUCAAAUCUGAUAGCGAGUGAGUUCUCAGAUCUAUACCUAGCGUCUUCGAAGAUGGGCAAUCUGAUUUGUUGCUGCCGUGGUGACCCUAAGGAGGAAAAACUGCGAGCCAAUCAUGCAAGGAAGUACGAGGUUGUUGCUGAGGUGGCCGUAGGAGCACGAGAAGAAGGU